GAUGAAGAACGCAGCGAAAUGCGAUAAGUAGUGUGAAUUGCAGAAUUCCGUGAAUCAUCGAGUCUUUGAACGCACAUUGCGCCCCCUGGUAUUCCGGGGGGCAUGCCUGUCCGAGCGUCAUUGCUGCCCUCAAGCACGGCUUGUGUGUUGGGCCUCCGUCCUCCUCCCGGGGGACGGGCCCGAAAGGCAGCGGCGGCACCGCGUCCGGUCCUCGAGCGUAUGGGGCUUCGUCACCCGCUCUUGUAGGCCCGGCCGGCGCUUGCCGACACAUCAAUCUUUUUUCCAGGUUGACCUCGGAUCAGGUAGGGAUACCCGCUGAACUUAAGCAUAUCAAUAAGCGGAGGA
rnacentral:misc_RNA from 1 species